rnacentral:rRNA from 1 species
AACGAACGCUGGCGGCAGGCCUAACACAUGCAAGUCGAACGCUCUAGCAAUAGAGAGUGGCAGACGGGUGAGUAACGCGUGGGAAUCUUCCUGGUGGUGCGGAAUAACUCGCCGAAAGGCGAGCUAAUACCGCAUAAGCCCGCAAGGGGAAGAUUAUCGCCAUCAGAUGGGCCCGCGUAGGAUUAGCUAGUUGGUGAGGUCAUGGCUCACCAAGGCGACGAUCCUUAGCUGGUUUGUAGAGAAUGACCACGCCACACUGGGACGUGAGACACGGCCCAGGCUCCUACGGGAGGGCAGCAGUGGGGAAGUCUUGGACAAUGGGCGGCAAGCCUGAUCCAGCCAUGCCGCGUGAGUGACGAAGGCCUCGG